rnacentral:guide_RNA from 1 species
GUAUAAAACAUCAGACGUGGAUUUGUGUUAUAGAC